AUUGAACGCUGGCGGCAGGCUUAACACAUGCAAGUCGAGCGGUAACAGGGGGUGCUUGCACCCCGCUGACGAGCGGCGGACGGGUGAGUAAUGCUUAGGAAUCUGCCCAGUAGUGGGGGAUAGCCCGGGGAAACCCGGAUUAAUACCGCAUACGUCCUACGGGAGAAAGCAGGGGAUCUUCGGACCUUGCGCUAUUGGAUGAGCCUAAGUCGGAUUAGCUAGUUGGUGGGGUAAAAGCCUACCAAGGCCACGAUCCGUAGCUGGUUUGAGAGGAUGAUCAGCCACAUCGGGACUGAGACACGGCCCGAACUCCUACGGGAGGCAGCAGUGGGGAAUAUUGGACAAUGGGGGCAACCCUGAUCCAGCCAUGCCGCGUGUGUGAAGAAGGCUUUCGGGUUGUAAAGCACUUUCAGUAAGGAGGAAAACCUUACGGUUAAUAACCGUGAGGCUUGACGUUACUUACAGAAGAAGCACCGGCUAACUCCGUGCCAGCAGCCGCGGUAAUACGGAGGGUGCAAGCGUUAAUCGGAAUUACUGGGCGUAAAGCGCGCGUAGGUGGUUCGAUAAGCGGGAUGUGAAAGCCCCGGGCUUAACCUGGGAACGGCAUUCCGAACUGUCGGGCUAGAGUAUGGUAGAGGGUAGUGGAAUUUCCUGUGUAGCGGUGAAAUGCGUAGAUAU
rnacentral:rRNA from 1 species